UACGAAGGGGGCUAGCGUUGCUCGGAUUUACUGGGCGUAAAGGGCGCGUAGGCGGAUGUUUAAGUCGGGGGUGAAAGCCCGGGGCUCAACCUCGGAAUUGCCUUCGAUACUGGACAUCUUGAGUACGGGAGAGGUGAGUGGAACUCCGAGUGUAGAGGUGAAAUUCGUAGAUAUUCGCAAGAACACCAGUGGCGAAGGCGGCUCACUGGCCCGAUACUGACGCUGAGGCACGAAAGCGUGGGGAGCAAACAGG
rnacentral:rRNA from 1 species